rnacentral:misc_RNA from 1 species
GUCUGUCCUCAUCAUCUGAAGACCACAUGGCUUCGUCAAGGUCACUUAACCUAUCUGAAGCCAUCGUUCCCUUCAAAUAAGGGUCAAAAUUUCUUCUUGAACCUCCAUCAUUCAUAGGUCUAUUGCUCUUACCUUUCUGCCAUUUCUCUGUUUUAUACUUAGGAUGCCUGACAGGAGCAUUGUACUUGUGGGUAUGUCGACCAUCAUCAUCAUCUAAUUCACUGUCAUCUUCAGAUACAUCAUCUUGUUCAUCGUCAUCACCCAUCUUCCUUCCAGAUGUCCUACUCCUACCACUUGACCUUCCUCCUGUCUCAUCGUCUGAUUCAUCACUUCCCAUCAUUCCAGAUCUUCUAAAUCGACCACCUAUAUCUUCUUUGUUCCAAUAUCUAAUCCUUCCCGAUUCUUCUUUUUCUGCUUCUUCCUCAGCUGCCCAUUCGUCAUCAGCUGCCUUUUCUAUCUGAGCAAUGAAAUCGUCAAGCUCCUCCUGGUCACUGUCUUCAGCUGUUGAAUGUUUUUCGUCUACACUACUGCUGUGACUCAACUUGGUAUCAUAAUCCUCCUGAAAAACAUAUGGGCUUCCUUCUUUCUUAUCAAUGGCAUUGAAGAAUGUGGAUGCUACUCGCUGGAUGCUGGCUCUGGCUGCCGGAUCAUCAGGAUUUAUUCCCUUCCUCCGGAGCUCUUGUUCUAUUUUCUUUAUGUUUAAUUUCUGUGAUUCUAGGGCUUGUUCGAAUCGGGCUUUAAAUAAUGCCUUCCUUUU